CGGGGCGGAGACAAAAACAAAAAAAAAAAACCUAAGCCUCCCGUUGGUUCUCCCUUGUCCACACACAGCCGCAGCCUCUCUAUCUCCAUCAUCUCUUUGAAACAUAACCACUCGCAGCUUCUUCUUCUUCUUCUUCUUCUUCUUCUUCCUGCCAGUCUUCUCCUCCAACCUCUGCGCCAGCUUCUUCUCUCCCAACUCCCUCUGUAACUCUCCUGCUUCCCCUCUUUCUCCCAUCUCCACUACGCCAGACUAGCACCCGAGCGCCCCCCUUUCUUCUUGCUCACGUUCUCAACCAACAACCACUGGCCUCCUCUGCCGCCAGUCCAUAGGAUCCAGCCGCCACAGCUCCUCCGGCCAUCCCCUGCAACUCCAACCGCCGCAUUCCAGUACCAGAACAGAAGCAGCCAGCCACCAACACCCCGAGCCCUCCAUCACGGCAUUACGGGUUUCAGGUGGGAAGGCAGCAGCAGCGUGGCAGGAGGCUACUCUGGAAGUCUUGAGCUGGAAGUCCUCUGUUGGAGCACGAAGCACCAAAAGCAACAGCAACCCAAGAGCCCGGCGUUCGUUUGUGUUUUUCGGCGGCCAUCUUUCUCAGUUUUUUCUUUUUUAGUUCCGGCAACAGCACCAGUCAUCUUCUCCGGCGCUCACUGCUGUUUUUCUCCGGUGUUCUUUCGGCGUUCGCUCGUCUUUCCGGCCACCCCUGCUCCGGUCACCCAUCUUGAUCACCACCAGCCGUGAGUCGCCCUUCACCGCACCGGCAUCACCAGCCCCACAGGACCUCCGACCACCAUCAUAGCCCAACACUUGGUGACAUCCUCUUCCAGCUCCGGCGGUUUCCUUUUUAUUUGUGGGGGCUGGUUUCAAUUUUUAAAUUUUGAAUUGUACAUAUGUUAAAUAGGUAACAUUAUGGUUGAUUGAAUAUUAUUGUUAAAGUUUUAAUUUUCUUAUUGUCAUAUAUUUAUUUAAUAAAUAGUAUAUUACUAUUUAGGGUUGUAA